rnacentral:rRNA from 1 species
UACGGGGGGGGGCAAGCGUUGUUCGGAAUUACUGGGCGUAAAGGGCGCGUAGGCGGCCUUCUAAGUCGGACGUGAAAUCCCUCGGCUCAACCGAGGAACUGCGUCCGAUACUGGUUGGCUUGAAUUCGGGAGAGGGAUGCGGAAUUCCAGGUGUAGCGGUGAAAUGCGUAGAUAUCUGGAGGAACACCGGUGGCGAAGGCGGCAUCCUGGACCGAUAUUGACGCUGAUGCGCGAAAGCCAGGGGAGCAAACGGG